GUAAAUUUGCUAUAUAUAACGGAAACAAUAAAAUGCCCGUGUUACGUCUUAAAUCGUGGGUCGUGGAGCUGCAUCGUUCACGAAAUGUCGGACUUCCAUCAAAUUUAAUGCCCGCGAUUCUAACCUUAUCACUAUUUAUCACGAACUAUGAUGAUAAUAAUUGUUAUCAAAUAAUUAACAACGUAAUAUUUUUAUUUUUUCGUCUGCCGACGUUAAGUUUGAAUCACUCGGGAAUCGCGAUUAUAUGAAAUUUGAACAGAACUACAGUGGUACAGAGUUCUAUUCAUACAUAAUUUUAGAACAUAAUCACCAUGGAUAAGUGUAUUCUUUUUAGCAAAACAACCAAUGUAUCGCCUCGCCGCCACAUUACGUUAAUUUUCAUUUGUAAGUAGGUAUUAUUUUCAAAUUGCACUGUUUAUACUUCUUAAUAAUAUGGAGUCAGUCUAGUUUGCUAAUUUGUUCACAGAUAUAGAUUUCCAAAAAAUCAAUGAAAUAAAGACUAAAAAUCUUCGAAUUAAAUGAUUAUCCCAAUUUCUACCUGGCAUAGAAUCUGCGGCAAUCAUUUCUCAAUUAGUGAUUGUAAACAAUGCUCAGUAAAUUAGUAAACACGGUCAGAGGCUGUCUCAAAACAUAAUCCAAACCACUUGUCUGGGAUAGAGAAGUAAAAUAAAUUUUAGUUAUUUACGGCAACAUCGGUACUACUCUGAGCACGACUAGGAAAUCGCAUCUAAGAGAAAACUUUGUUUCUCCAACGAUGGGUUAGCAGAAAAUGAACAGACGAAUAAAGGGUUUCGAGGACUUACAGUUGAUGAUUUUGAUUAGCCCAGAAAAGCCUUACAUACUGAUUAAUGUCUAAUUCACACACACUUAUUUCAUAGAAUGGAUUAUACUUAUUAUUGUUUUCGAAAUUGAAAUAAUAUAUUAUGUACCUACCACAUACAAGGAACUAAGAAGUGGAGCCAGUGUAUUGACAAUUUUUCAGACGUUGACUUUCUUGAAGAUAAUUCUACAGACUCAGAUGAAGCCAUAUAAUAUUGGAGCGAAUUGUGAAACUU